AUUGCCUGAGAAACAUUUUCGAAAAUAAUUGAAGAAAUUAGCUUUUUAAUUUUUAUUUCAAAUUUUAGACUAUUGAUUCGAAUAAGUUGUUAACUCAGAUGAAUUAUAUGAAGAAGAAAAAGCGAAAAAAGUGCAAUGAUUGAUGAAAAUAUUAUGCAUUGUUGAAGUUGUUGAACUACAUGAAGAUAAAGUCGGGAGUUUUACGAUAAUAUUCAAAAUCGUGCGGGAGAUGAAAUUGAGCUGUAAAAACGGGAGUCUCCCGGAAAAAUCGGGAGAGUUGGCAUGUCUG